AACGAACGCUGGCGGCAUGCCUAACACAUGCAAGUCGAACGAGCCCUUCGGGACUUGUGGCGCACGGCUGCGUAACGCGUGGGAACCUGCCCUUAUGUUCGGCAUAACUCCCCGAAAGGGGUGCUAAUACCGGAUAAUGUCUUCGGACCAAAGAUUUAUCGCCUUUGGUUGGGCCCGCGUUGGAUUAGCUAGUUGGUAGGGUAAAAGCCAACCAAGGCGACGAUCCGUAGCUGGUGUAAGAGGAUGAUCAGCCACCCUGGGAGGGAGACACGGCCCGGGCACCUACGGCAGGGGGCAGUGGGGAAAAUGAGACAAGGGGCGAAAGUCAGAACGAGCAAUGGAGCGUGAGUGACGAAGACCUGAGGGUUAUAAAGGUCUUUUAACCGGGACGAUAAUGACAGUACCGGGAGAAGAAGCUCCUGCUAAAUCCCGGC
rnacentral:rRNA from 1 species